AUGAGUCGGCCUGAUGGGAUCAACAUCCCCGACGGCAAGUUCUACCUUGGAGAUGCUGGCUAUGCAUGUCGGCCGGGUAUUCUUCCACCCUUCAAGAAAACAAGGUACCAUCUCAAUGAGUUCUCUGGUAGGAACUAUCCUAGGACUGCACAGGAGCUGUUUAAUCUCAGACACUCCAGCCUUAAAGUAAAUGUUGAGAGGGCAUUUGGAGCUCUGAAGAAUAGGUUUAAGAUCCUGGAUCAGAAGCCAUUCCACCCAUACUCCACUCAGGUUAAGCUUGUUCUUGCUUGUUGCAUUCUGCCUAACUGGAUCCUCCAGUGGGGCUUUGAUGAACACGUGCCUGAGGAGGAAGAGGUCGAGCCUGACGAUGUUGUUAGUUCCGGCCAUGGUGUGGAGGCAUUUGACAAUGACGCUUGA
rnacentral:rRNA from 1 species